CGACACUUUGUGGGAUGCGUUAGAGCCAACCUUACCAACGCAUUCCAUGGCGUGUCGCC
rnacentral:pre_miRNA from 1 species